rnacentral:lncRNA from 1 species
UGGGUCAAAAUCAAAUAGAGUAAUCAACUGUAACUCAAAAUUUUAGUGCAACUGAUAGGAACCUAUUUGGGGUAGAAGGUUUAAGUGACAAUAAUGCUGACAAUGAACAAGAAGAAUGUGAUAAUGAAAAAAAAAAGAAAAUAAGAAGAGAGAUGAAAAACUAACUGAUAAGGUACUUGAAAAAAGUAUAUUGAGUGAUAAGGAUACUUAAAAAGAUAGUGAGGUGGUGAAUAAUUUGAUGAUUACGGGAUAUACUUCAUUGAAGAAUCCAAUGAAAAUGAGGACCUAUUUGAUGUAGGGGCUAAGCACAUAGCUAAACUACC